GACGUAGGGCGCGAGCGUUGUCCGGAUUUAUUGGGCGUAAAGAGCUCGGUAGGCGGCUUGUCGCGUCGACUGUGAAAUCCCGCGGCUCAACUGCGGGUCUGCAGUCGAUACGGGCAGGCUAGAGUUCGGUAGGGGAGACUGGAAUUCCUGGAUGUAGCGGUGAAAUGCGCAGAUAUCAAAUAGGAACCUCCGGGUGGCGAAAGGCGGCACG
rnacentral:rRNA from 1 species